UACGAAGGGGGCUAGCGUUGCUCGGAAUUACUGGGCGUAAAGCGCACGUAGGCGGAUCCUUAAGUCGGUGGUGAAAUCCUGAAGCUCAACUUCAGAACUGCCUUCGAUACUGGGGACCUUGAGUUCGGGAGAGGUGAGUGGAACUGCGAGUGUAGAGGUGAAAUUCGUAGAUAUUCGCAAGAACACCAGUGGCGAAGGCGGCUCACUGGCCCGAUACUGACGCUGAGGUGCGAAAGCUAGGGGAG
rnacentral:rRNA from 1 species